UUAGUUUGGAUCAAUUUUA
rnacentral:snRNA from 1 species